ACUGAGGCAAUCAGCACUUGAUUGCCAUGCCAGGGUUGGUGGGGAAGGCGGCUGAAGGCAGGAUGGAGGACAGGAGACCAUGCUACCAACAGCUGGAAACCCCCAGAAAGGCCGUCAGGAUUCUAGAGUGUAAGAAACCAGAUCGGAGAAACUGUAGCAGCCACAUCGCUGGCAACGUGCAGGACCAUCCUGAAGCUGCCCAGCUCCUCCAUCACCAUGCGAACCGAAGCUCCCUCCACUCCGUCCCGACUCGGGCUGCCUGCUCCAGCCAGCCGUUCCCGGACAGCCCGGGCACCGUACGCUGCCUGCCGGGGCCCCUCAGGCAGCCCGUCGCCAUCUUCCCGGGUCGCCCCACACCGCCAUCUUCCUUCAGGCAGCAGGGAGCCAGGGGGAGGCAAUGUGUUGUGCAAAUCUGCCAUCUGCUGGUGAUCGGAUGCUUCAUGAAGCUGUCCUGACUUCAAAUUAGUGGAUAUCCCCCUCUCUGUCACCCCCUCCCAAAAAAGGAAGAAGAAAAGGUGUCAGUGUUGAGAUACAAGCUCUUCCACAUAAUGGAAGUGUUUUCCACAGUCUGUCCUCAUUUUCAACCUGAAGCUAUGCUGUAGCACUAGGGAGAAAAAAACAACCAAUCACAUCUUCACCCCAUGUUGGAGCUCCUCUCUGCAGCCCUGCAUCUCCAGAUCUAAGACAAACUGACUAUUUCAG
rnacentral:lncRNA from 1 species